AGUUCAUAUAUCUGCUGGGCAUUGUGAUUCCACACAGUGUCGUUCUUUUCUAGUAUAACUUCUGAAACACUAACAGUGCCCAACACACCACUGCUUUGAAAAAAGAACCAGCUCAAGAACAGAAAGGGAAUGUAGGUUUUUCUUCUAUUCCUGAACUCAAAAGAGUUCAGUGGGCAGCAUCAGCCAUAUUGUGGAAUCCCACUCACAAGGCAUUUUGCAAGACAUAAACAGCAAAAUCAAAGGGAUCAGAGGCAGAGAAGAAAAGGAUUUCCAAGUUUUGUAAGUUCAGUAAAAACAGAGAACUUCAUCACAGAAGUCAAGGCAGCAUUUCAGCCUGGGAACACACAGGAUCUCUCCCACCCCACAGAGAUGUCUGACUGCUACUUAUUCGUGCUGGUUUGUAUCCAACAGAGCAUAUAACCAACUUAACCAAUCUCUGCUGAGACUGAUUUCCUGAA